rnacentral:rRNA from 1 species
GACGAACGCUGGCGGCGUGCUUAACACAUGCAAGUCGAACGGAAAGGCCCGCCACCUUGGUGGUGGGUACUCGAGUGGCGAACGGGUGAGUAACACGUGGGUGAUUUGCCCCGCACUGUGGGAUAAGCCUGGGAAACUGGGUUGAUACCACAUACGACCAUGGCGUAGGGGUCAUGGUGGAAAGCUUUAUUGCGGUGUGGGAUGAGCCCGCGGCCUAUCAGCUUGUUGGUGGGGUAAUGGCCUGCCAAGGCGGCGACGGGUAGCCGGCCUGAGAGGGUGGACGGCCACAUUGGGGCUGAGACACGGCCCAGACUCCUACGGGAGGCAGCAGUGGGGAAUAUUGCACAAUGGGCGCAAGCCUGAUGCAGCGACACCGCGUGGGGGAUGAAGGCCUUCUGGGUUGUAAACUCCUUUCGCCCGGGACGAAGCCCUCCUCGGUGGG